AUUGAACGCUGGCGGCAUGCCUUACACAUGCAAGUCGAACGGUAACAGGUCUUCGGAUGCUGACGAGUGGCGAACGGGUGAGUAAUGCAUCGGAACGUGCCCAGUUGUGGGGGAUAACUGCUCGAAAGAGCAGCUAAUACCGCAUACGACCUGAGGGUGAAAGCGGGGGAUCGCAAGACCUCGCGCAAUUGGAGCGGCCGAUGUCAGAUUAGGUAGUUGGUGGGGUAAAGGCCUACCAAGACGACGAUCUGUAGUUGGUCUGAGAGGACGACCAGCCACACUGGGACUGAGACACGGCCCAGACUCCUACGGGAGGCAGCAGUGGGGAAUUUUGUACAAUGGGCGCAAGCCUGAUCCAGCAAUGCCGCGUGCAGGAAGAAGGCCUUCGGGUUGUAAACUGCUUUUGUCAGGGAAGAAAUCCUCUGGGUUAAUACCCCGGGGGGAUGACGGUACCUGAAGAAUAAGCACCGGCUAACUACGUGCCAGCCGCCGCCGUAAAAC
rnacentral:rRNA from 1 species